rnacentral:tRNA from 1 species
GGAUUGUGGCUCAGUGGUAGAGUGCUUGCCUAGUACAUUCGAGGCCCUGGGUUUGAUCCUCAGCACCA